UGAAUGUCUUAAAAGGAUGUUUUACAAAUCUUGUUAUUUUUUAGGUUGAUAUGUGAUUUGAAAUCAAAUAUUGUUAUUUUUUAGAUUGAUAUGUGAUCUUGAAAUCAAAACUUGAUAAAGACAUGCUCCAACGAGCUUGGCGACAAUUCAAACCAAGUAUUAAUAUGAAGUAUUUGAGAUUCUUGAGAUUUGUAUAUAUAGUGACUAGACUAGAAG
rnacentral:lncRNA from 1 species